rnacentral:rRNA from 1 species
UACGUAGGGCGCAAGCGUUAUCCGGAAUUAUUGGGCGUAAAGAGCUCGUAGGCGGUUUGUCGCGUCUGCCGUGAAAGUCCGGGGCUCAACUCCGGAUCUGCGGUGGGUACGGGCAGACUAGAGUGCAGUAGGGGAGACUGGAAUUCCUGGUGUAGCGGUGAAAUGCGCAGAUAUCAGGAGGAACACCGAUGGCGAAGGCAGGUCUCUGGGCUGUAACUGACGCUGAGGUGCGAAAGCGUGGGGAGCAAACAGG